rnacentral:rRNA from 1 species
CGGUACGUACUGGCAUUGUUGGUUUCUCCCUUCUGACGAACCAUGAUGUCAUUUAUUUGGUGUUGUGGGGAAUCAGGACUGUUACUUUGAAAAAAUUAGAGUGUUUAAAGCAGGCUCACGCUUGAAUACAUUAGCAUGGAAUAAUGAAAUAGGACGUUUGAUUCUAUUUUGUUGGUUUCUAGGAUCGACGUAAUGAUUAAUAGGGAUAGUUGGGGGCAUUAGUAUUCAAUUGUCAGAGGUGAAAUUCUCGGAUUUAUUGAAGACUAACUACUGCGAAAGCAUUUGCCAAGGAUGUUUUCAUUAAUCAAGAACGAAAGUUAGGGGAUCGAAGACGAUCAGAUACCGUCGUAGUCUUAACCAUAAACUAUGCCGACUAGGGAUCGGAUGAUGUUAAUUUUCUAAUGACUCAUUCGGCGCCUUACG